rnacentral:lncRNA from 1 species
UAUAAUUGCUUCCCACGAAUCUUAGACAGAGGCUUCCCUUGAUCGAAUGUCCCAUCCAUGAGAAUCCGACAAAGGACCUCCAUACACCAAUUGUGAAAAGGCAGUAUAGCACGUUGCUUGAAGUGAUUGCAAAUUGCAAACACUCGCCUCUUUCCUCCACCCUCCACUGAACUCCCCAGCCGGCCCAUUGUUAAUGAAUGCUCUAUAGGAUUCCACCUAAUACAAGCCAUAAUAAGCUUUGAUA